rnacentral:rRNA from 1 species
CGGCCGUGAAAGUCUGCUGUGAAAUCCAGGCGCUUAACGUCUGGGCGUGCAGCGGAUACUUCACGGCUAGGGACCGGAUGGCGUUGGAGCUAUUCCAGGGGUAGGAGUGAAAUCCUAAAAUCCCUGGAGGAGCACCUGUGGCGAAAGCGUCCAACGAAUACGGAUCCGACGGUGAGGAACAAAAGCUAGAGGAGCAAAGCGGAUUAGAUACCCGCGUAGUCCUAGCCGUAAACAUUGCCUGUUUGAUGUCGGACAACCCUCGUGGUUGUCCGGUGCCGAAGUGAAAACGUUAAACAGGCCGCCUGGGGA